UAAAACAUUUUUCCGAUUUAUUUUCGGUCAACCCCAAUUCACCACCAAAAAAAGAUAAAGAAAGAAACUAAUAUUGUUAUACAUGCAAAUGGCAGUAGUUGUUUUCUGGUUUACAUUUCUUCUUUCUUUUGGUAUUGGGGUGACCUAGAGGAUUAUUAUGUUACAUUUAAUUCAUAAGAUAAAGCUAUAUAUCAUCUCUUUUGUUAUUAUUGACGGAAAAAAUUAAAUGUUUACAUCAAAUCAAUAAAUACAUGACAUGUGUCUUCUAUCUAUAAUUUAUACGAAAUUAAAACAUGUUAAAAAUAAGCGGUGGAUAAAAUACUCCACAUCGUAGAUUUAAAAUCUUAGAUUCACAUUUGGCAAUUAUAUGCGAUUUACAUUAAUAAACAAGCGUUUUAAGUCAUCGGACGACAUAAGAAAAGGCUUCGUAGAAAAGGAAGAACAUAAAUAAGAAUUAAAGGACUAAGGUCGUAUAUUUCUGUUGGUAACAAGUCCUCUUCAUUAAAGACUUCAGAUGGAUACUUUUCCAUGUAAAAAUUUUAGAAUUAGUAAUUGUAACAUAGAAUUAAAUGGAUAAUGCAAGGAAAGCAAACUAAGGUUUUAAGAGCUGCGAGUGAGAAUGCCAUCUAUUUAAAAUAAAAGCUAAACGGAGAAACAAAUUUAUUCAUAUGGUAUUCUAAACUCACUAGCCCGAUUAAUUUGGUUUGACAGUAGAUAGGCGAAAGUAAAGUACUAUCUAUCGAAAUGUUUUGGGCUUAAUUAUUUGUACUACUAGCUAAGGUCAUGAAAAUAACAGAGGCAUAUUGUAAAACUGUUAUUUGGUCUAGAGUAAACACAAUCACCAAGAGAAUUUCUUCUCAAGCAUGUUGGAUGGUGCGGAAUAGGACCAGAGAUAUGCUUAGUCACAUAAAGCAGGGCAAAUACAAGAAGAAGUUUGAUCAGACAUAUUCUAUACGGUCAAAAUCGGGUUCGCCUCUUGUGCGACUAAUCGAGACUGAAAAGUGAAAGUUUAAAGUUCAACCUCGAAUUAUAUCAAACCGAGGUGCGAAGCUAUAUAGUUAAACUCGAGACCAUGUCAUCGAACAAAAUCGUGAUCAGACGAGAUCGAGGGAAAAUUACCAAGCCGAAUAACAGAAGGAUGAAAUAUCCGCAAUCAGUUGUAGAUCAUGGCGGAAAUCUCGGCACAUAUCAAGGAUAUGCUGAUUGAUUAGCAAAUCAUGAGAUUUCUUACCUUGUAUAGAAUUGUAUCAAGAGUAGGAGUCCUCUACUAUAUAAAGGGGGUCUGAUCAUUUGUAAAGGGACACAUUAUGCAACAUAAAGCAAUAUAAUGUCAUUUUCUAGCUUUUAUCAUCAUGUUAUUCUGUUCAUACAUCAGUUGAGACAUCUCUCGGAUCAAGGGUGUUCGAUUUGAUAAACAGUUUGGCAUAAGGUUGCUCGAUUCAUGUGGUUUGUAUUAAUUCUUUUGUCGUCAAUUUCAAUUUUAAUCUGUUUCCAUAAUUUGUAUCAAGUUAUAUCAUGUAUCCUUAAAACCACGUAUAAAUUCAAUUGUUAUUCGAUUUUUAGGGUAAUCAGUUUGGUGCCGACCGUGGGGCUAAGGAUAAUAGUGAUUACCUCGUACAAACUUUCAUAACACACACUAUUUUACACUUGUUCUUUGGAGUAUCUUUGCUUCCAGGACCAAAAUGUCGAACUCUCAGUCAACACCCCUACACGUGGACAAUGAUUUCGGUCACCACGAGAAAAAUGAUAACAUAGCACCAGGGAACAACGUACCUCCAGUUGUCCUCGAUGGAGUUCCGGCUGUAGAUCCAAUUGACGUCAGCUCGCAUGUAGCCAUCAAUGCAAAUUUGGCCGUCGAUCCCGAGAGCAGCAUCCGUAGAGACAUUUGAUCAGCCGCUCAAAGCACACAUGGCGGCGAAGAGGGAGGGAUCAGCCUGCGGGUGAUCUUCAAAAUGUUGUAGGCUCAACAAGUAGCGAUAGCCCAGCUCCAAAACCAGAAUCACCCACCGAGCAGUAUCGAGCCCGAGCCGUCCCAGGAAGUUGUCCAUAGGGUCGAAUCGGUUUCAAGGAAAUCGAAUGAGAAGGAAUCGUGGGACGAUCCUGCAAUCAUGAAGAUACUCAAAGAAAUGACAAAACGAGUUGAGUCGGGGGAAAAGAAGAUCGAGGAAAAUGACAAGAAGGUGGAAACUUAUAACUCCAUGGUCUAUCAAAUCCCGGUGGCACCACCAAUAUUGAAGGGCCUGGAUUCCAAAAAGUUUAUGCUAAAACCAUUCCUACCGAGCGCGGCUCCCACACCGAUUCCCAAGAAGUUUUGCAUGCCCGAGAUUCCUAAAUAUAAUGGAACAACUGACCCAAACGAGCAUAUCACCUCUUACACAUGUGCUAUCAAAGGGAAUGAUCUAGAGGAUGACGAGAUCGAGUCUGUCUUGCUAAAGAAAUUUGGGGAAACUCUGUCAAAGAGAGCUAUGAUAUGGUACCACAAUUUACCACCUAACUCUAUUGAUUUAUUUACUAUGGUUGCUGAUUCAUUUGUAAAGGCACAUGCUGGGGCCAUCAAGGUCGAAACCAGGAAGUCUGACCUUUUCAAGGUAAGGCAGAAGGACAACGAAAUGCUCAAAGAAUUUGUGUCUCUAUUCCAAAUGGAACGAAUGGAUUUGUUACUGGUCGCCGAUGAUUGGGUUGUUCAAGCUUUCACCCAAGGACUCAAUGUUCGAAGUUUAGUGGCUUCGCAGCAGUUGAAGCAGAAUUUGAUAGAAUACCCGACUGUUACUUGGGCCAAGGUUCACAAUCGGUAUCAAUCAAAGAUCAGGGUCGAAGACGACCAGCUUGGAUUUCCUUUCGGGUCCGUUUAUCCUAUCAGGACCGUUCAUAGAUUCAAGAGGGACAUUGACCGAGAACCAAAGUUGAACAUGGAUCGGUAUCAGCCGUAUAAUGGAGAUCAUAGGAGCAGCGGAUCUGGGUGAAAUCCUAUACGAAAUGAAAGGAUGAGUGAUCGAGGCUAGAGCUCUUGAGGGCUUAUGAGUAAGAACGGCUUCGACAGGCCUAUCAGACCUAUAGAGGCACCACGAUUAACAGAAUAUAACUUUAAUGUUGACGCAACUGGCAUUGUAUUGGCUAUCAGAUGCAUCAAAGAUACCAAAUGGCCUCGACCUUUACAAAACGAUCCAGCCCAGAUAAAUCCCAAUCAAAUGUGAAAAUAUCAAGGCACCCAUGGCCAUAGAACGGAAGAUUGUCGACAGUUGAGAGAAGAAGUAGCUAGGUAACUCAAUGACGAGCACCUUCAGGUCAAAAAUAGGGAUUCCAAUAAACAAAACGAGCAAGAAGAACCUCAACACAUCAUUCAUAUGAUUAUUGGAGGGGUCGAUGUCCCCCAAAGUCUGAUGUUAAAACGCACCAAGGUGUCAAUCACGAGAGAGAAACAAACUCGGGACUACAUGCUAGAAGGAACCUUAUCUUUCAAUGACGAGGAUGCAAAAGGAAUCAUACAGCCCCAUAAUGAUGCACUGGUAAUAUCCGUACUGAUGAAUAAAACUCGAGUUAAGCAUGUGUUAAUUGAUCCAGGUAGUUCGGCCAACAUCAUUCGAUUAAGGGUCGUUAAACAACUCGGCCUACAGGACGAAAUUGUGCCCGCGAAUCGAGUGCUAAAUAGAUUCAACAUGGCUUGUGAAACUACUAAGGGAGAAAUAACAUUACCAGUGAACGCAGUCGGGACCAUCCAGGAGACCAAGUUUUAUGUGAUCGAAAGGGACAUGAGAUAUAACGCCCUGUUUGGGAGACCGUGGAUCCACAACAAGAGGCAUGUGCCCUCGACCCUUCACCAAGUGCUAAAAUUCCUAGCACCAGAAGGGAUUAAAACAAUCUACGGGGAGCAGACCGCCACGAAGGAAAUGUUUUCCAUCGAUGAAGUAAUUCCAAUAUCGACACUCUCAUCGACAAAGGAGUCAGAUUCGAAAGUAAAACAGGAAGCCAAAUAGCAAUCACAGACGAUGGCCUCGACCCAACUAUAUAAGCAAGGGACUGACGAAGACGAUGAUUAUGGGGUACCUUGAUCCUUCAUAGUCCUCGAAGAUUCCGACGCUACCAAAUCAACGGUCAAAGAGCUCUAGCAGGUCAUACUGAUCGAACAGCUACCGGAUCGAAAGGUAUACCUGGGCACGAGGUUAACUCCUGAGCUCAGGAAAAAACUCAUUCAAUUUCUUAUAGCUAACAUGGAUUGUUUUCCUUGGUCCCAUCUCAACAUGAUAGGAAUCCCACCAUAGAUUACCACUCAUAAACUGAGCUUGGGCCCGAAAUUCCAUCCGGUGAAGCAGAAAAGGAGACCCCAGUCCGAGAUCAAGCAUGCCUACAUCAAAGACGAGGUAACUAAAUUCCUUAAAAUAUGGUCCAUCCGGGAAGUCAAAUACCCCUAAUGGCUAGCAAACAUAGUAGUAGUCCCUAAGAAAGGGAGCAAACUAAGAAGGUGUGUGGAUUACAAAGAUUUAAAUAAGGCAUGUCCCAACGACUUUUUUCCUUUGCCUAACAUCGAUCGCAUGAUCGAUGUCACGGCCGACCAUGAGAUCCUCAGUUUUCUCGAUGCCUAUUCCGAGUAAAACCAAAUACAAAUGAACCGGGAUGAUCAAGAAAAGACAUCCUUCAUCACAAUGUAUGGCACAUACUCCUAUAACGUAAUGCCAUUUGGAUUAAAAAAAUGCUGGUGCCACUUACCAACUCCUAGUAAACCAGAUGUUCGAAGAACAAAUAGGAAAAUCUAUGAAAGUUUACAUUGAUGACAUGUUAGUUAGGUCCCUGCGAGAGGAGGACCAUUUGAAGCAUUUGCAGAAAACCUUCAGUAUAUUGAGGAAGUACAAUAUGAAAUUGAAUCUAAAAAAAUGUACAUUCGGAGUCAAGUCAGGUACAUUUCUCGGAUUCAUGGUAUCCAACCGAGGAAUCGAGAUCAGCCCCGACAAGAUUAAAGUUGUCGAGUAUAUCACGGUAGUGGACAACGUGAAGGCUGUGCAGAGGCUAACCGGGCACAUAGCCGCCCUAGGGCGAUUCAUCUCAAGGUCCUUCGAUAAGAGUCAUCGAUUUUUCUCAUUGAUGAGGAAAAAGAAUAACUUCACAUGGACUCUGGAAUGCCAACAGGCUCGGGAAGAACUUAAGCAAUACUUGUCGAGCCAGCCACUGCUUCACACAUUGAGGAAAAUUAAACAACUGUACUUAUAUUUGGCAGUAUCGGAGAUAGCGGUACGUGGAGUCCUAGUUCGGGAAGAACAAGGUUCCAAUUUUCAAUUUAUUAUGUUAGCCGGACCUUGGGUGAGGCCGAAACAAGAUAUUCCCAUUUAGAAAAAUUAGCGUUCGCUUUGUUAAGUCCCUCUAGGAAACUGAAAUCAUACUUUCAAUGCCACCCUAUAUGUGUUAUGGCAAUUUACCCAUUUCGAAAUAUAAUGCAUAAACCCGAACUCUCGGGACGAUUGGCCAAAUGGGUCGUUGAAAUCAGUAGGUACGAUAUCGAAUAUUGAUCCCGAACAACUUUUAAGUCUCAAAUCUUGGCCGAUUUUGUGGCCGACUUAAUGCACGGACCUAAUACCCGAGGCCGAAAGAGAGUUGUUGGUAAACUCGGGAACGUCCUCAGGAAUCAGGACCCUCUUUACGGACGGUGCAUCGAAUGCAAAGGGGUCCGAACUUGGUAUCGUACUGAAGCCACCCACGGGUAACGUGGUUAGACAAUCUAUUAGAACUGUGAAGCUGACUAACAACGAGGCUGAAUAUGAGGCAAUGAUUACAGGUCUCGAGCUAGCCAAAAGCUUGGGGGCGAAGGUGAUCAAAGCUAAGUGCGACUCCUUCCUUGUUAUGAAUCAGGUUAACGGAACGUUCAAAGUCAAAGAAGAAUGAAUGCAAAGGUACCUAAAUAAGUUACAAGUGACAUUAUAUCGGUUUAAAGAAUGGACUUUGCAGCACGUGCCUCGAGAUCAAAAUAGCGAGGUUGAUGCCCUCGCAAACUUAGGGUCAUCGGUCGAGGAUGACGAGCUUAACUCAGGGACCGUUGUGCAACUCAUGAGGUCGGUAGUCGACGAAGGUCACGCCGAGAUAAAUUUCACAAGUUUAACUUGGGAUUGGAGAAAUAAAUACAUAAAAUACUUGAAGACCGGGAAAAUUCCCUUAUAUCCAAAAGAAUCGAGGUCCCUGCGCACAAAGUCAGCCCGAUUCAUCUUGUCCGAAAACGGAACCUUGUACAGAAGAAUGUUUGAUGGCCCACUAGCAAUAUUUAUGGGACUAGGAGAUACCGAGUAUUUUCUGAGGGAAGUUCAUGAGGGCACUUGCGGAAAUCAUUCACGCGUUGAAUCAUUGGUUCCAAAGGUAAUCAGAGCCGGAUAUUACUGGAUCGCCAUGGAAAAAGAUGCGAAGGAAUUUGUUCGAAAAUGUGACAAAUGCCAAAGAUAUGCUCCAAUGAUUCACCGGUCGGGGAACUGAUGCAUUCAGUAUUGUCACCAUGGCCAUUCAUGAAGUGGGAAAUGGACAUCGUUGGCCCUCUUCCAUGGGCACCAGGUAAGGCUCAAUUUAUCUUAUAUAUGAUUGACUAUUUUUCUAAAUGGGUUGAAGCACAAAUAUACAAGAAGGUUAGGGAGAAGGAAGUCAUCGACUUCAUUUAGGACCACAUCAUAUGUCAGUUCGGGAUGCCAUCCAAAAUUGUGUGUGACAACGGGAAAUAGUUUAUCGGCAACAAAGUGACCAAGUUUCUCGAAGAUCAUAAGAUCAAAAGAAUCUAGCGGGAAUGGGCAAGCCGAAUCGACCAACAAAAUCAUAAUCCAAAACCUUAAGAAGAGGUUAACCGACGCCAAAGGGAAAUAGAAGGAGAUCCUACCCGAAGUCCUUUGGGCAUACCGCAUGACUAUGAAAUCCAGUACCGGGGCUACUCCAUUUUCCUUGGUUUAUGGCACCGAAGCCUUAAUACCGGUCAAAGUUGUGGGACCAAGUAUUAGAUACCAAUAUGCAACAAAGGAGUCAAAUGACGAGGCCAUGAGUACGAGCUUGAAACUAUUGGAUGAAAGGCGUGAGGUCGCCCUUGUUUGAUUGGCUGCCCAAAAAUAACGGAUCGAGAGGUAUUACAAUCGAAGGGCCAACCUUUGAUACUUUAAUGUCGGGGACUUGGUGCUAAUAAAAGUCACCAUAAACACCCGAUAUCCGAAAGAAGGGAAAUUGGGUCCGAACUGGGAAGGCCCGUACCAGAUUCUCGACGUCACCGGGAAAGGAUCCUAUAAGCUCGGAAUGAUGAACGGAGAACAACUACCGAGCAAUUGGAAUGUAUCCCACCUAAAAUAAUAUUACUGCUAAGGUACGACCCCAUUUUAUUUCCUUUUAUUUCGGACUAACACUUGUAGGUGAUUAAUAAGAAGCGACACAGAGUUUUUAGGUCUAAAAGCACUCGUUGCACUCUUUUUUUCCUUAGACCGAUUUUGUCCCAAAAGGGUUUUUCGACAAGGUUUUUAUCGAGGAAACAAUGGAUCGUGCUAACUUAGAAUCAAGUCUGAUCACGACUCGGUAUCAAAGGUUAAUUCAACAAUAUCUGAGGUCCCUCUACAAUCAACCUCGAAUACUUGGGGGGGGGGGGUGUAUUAUCCUCGGAUAUGCAUUAUCUUCGGAUAUCAACUUUAGAGAGGAAAUUACUUCGUAGAGGAAGGGUCUCGAUAGGUAGGAUUUAUUGUAAGGGCCAAACGGUCAAACGAACCGUGCACACAUUGAUUACUCGAACCCUAUCAUAAAAUAUGUACGCAUGUAUGACUGCUUUGCACAAGAAUAAAGAGAAGUACUUUCCUUGCAAUCAUCUUAUGUUUUAAAAAAAAUUCUCUUUGCAUCUCUUAAAGAGUUUCGUACUUCCAAUCUCUUGAAAAUAACGAGCCCAAGUGAAGUCUAUAGCCGAAAUACGAACGACCACUCCCUCACUCGGGGACCGCCGUCCGAAAAACUCGAACAGGCCCAAGUCACUAGGCCUCGGGGCAUAAGACCUACUAUGCAACUCCCCGGUUUUUAAAGGCCACGACCACCUUACUCGGGGACUAUUAUCUUGGGCAAGCCCGGAUAGCUCGGGAAAACAAGUCCAAUGGGCAGCUCCCGAACUAAAAGGCUACGACCAAAUUAACACAGCUCAGAGACGUCCAAAGCCUGUAACAAAAACUAGGCCUUCAAAAAAGAAACGUUUUCACAACCGGUUCUAAAGGCUAGCCUCGGCAAACUACAAUCUCGGCUACUUACUUAGGGAAAUGGUUUCGGUAACACCGAAGCCCCAAGACGCCUUAAAACAAAGUAAGGAAAAUACAAGGUUUGUUUGAACUUUUGAACACAACUUAAAUUACUUUAUGUUAAGGCAUUUCAGCCCUUAUGAAUACAAGUGAUAAAGUAAAUGACAAAUUUGAAAGCCAAAGGAGAAGAAAGACUUGUAUAUAUAUUCUUUUUUACAAAGGCUAGAAUGGCCCGAUAUAGAAAUGUAUAAUGGACAAAGCGACCUAAAAAGAUGCAAACAACAAAAAAUAAAAACAUCUAAUGGCCUAAGUGGCUUGGUCCUCAUCGGGGGAAGCGUCUUCAUCCUCGGGGUCUUCCCCACCUUCAGAUUCGGUCAAGCUCUCGGAGCCUUCCUCGGGAAAAGCCAGCUUCUGAGCCUUGGCUUCUUUUACCUUGGCAUUCUUGAUUUUCGCUAGUAUGUCAAAGCCCUGAGCAUGGACUCCCUCGAGGGCUUCCCUUCGAGCUUCCCACCUUGCAUGAUCCACCAUGCUCUUAGCCUGUGCCUGAAUAGCUUUGACAUCAACCUUGAAUUGGGCCACUUUAGCAUCGACCUUGGUACUGGCCACAGCCACCUCAGAUUUGGCCGCGUCGAACUCCGUGGCCAGGCUCUUUUGGCCAGAAACAGUCGAGUUAAGAUCAAAUUGGAGCUCCUCGAUCAUCUUGGCCUACACUGAGGUCAUCUCCUUUGUAGCCCGAAGCUGAGCAUCGGCCGACACCAGUUGUGCUUGGAGAACUUCCUUUUGCGAGGUUAUGAGGUCCAUAUUUUUCUUGAACUCCUCGGCCUCAGUUUGUAUCAUGUCUAUCUACGCCUGGAGCUGCCCGAUUUGUUCAAGCCUUUAUCGAACAUGCAAGAUUGGAUCGUUAGCCACUGAGUCCAACUCGUCGUCACUAUCUUCAAGUACUCAAUUUACCUGUUCGGCCCACUCAGUAUGCUCCUUCCGAGCCGCUUCUAAAUCGGUCUGAAGCUUCUCACUCAGAAGCUUAUAAGUAUCUCUAUUCUCGGUGAGCUCCCGAACCUCAGCCUCGUGCUGGGUUAACUCCUCCUAGAUUCAGAGGAAAGCCUCAUGGUGCAAUACCAAGGCAUACAAGCAUAAAGAAAGGUGUUAGGAUUAUUUACAACUUCAAAUUUAAAAUAAAUAAUGGAGUGACACACGAAGUUACCCGAUUCAAAGCGUGUUGGGCUUCAUUGAAUAGGCAAGGCACUUCCAUCCUAUCCAUCACGGCUUGGUCCUCUUCGGUCACCAAGCAACUGGGGCAGAAAAAACCCGGGCAUCCUCCGAGACAGAGAAAACUAUCGACCGCCUACGGUCAGGGUUAACACUUGGGGCCAGGAACUUAUCCACCAGCUUCGGGCUCGAUGAAGACCCACUGACACCCGAUGACGGUACCUUCCUUUGCACCGGUAAGUCACCAAGCCCGGUGACAUCUUCUGAGGCAGUGGACUCUAACCCGUCCAAGAAGUUGUGGAUAUCAGUCGCCCCCUGAGGCCCCUCAUAAGAAUGACCUUCUAGCAUACCGGCCUCGCGUAUCAUGGCGUCCGAGAUCUGAGGGGACCCGGUAAGGUCGAUCUCCCCAAGCUUGUCCAUCGGGGCACCUCCCUCUGCCCGAGAAGUGUCAGCCCCAGUCUCUCUCUCGAACUCCCGGGCCUGAGGCAAAGCAGCCGCACCCCGUUCCGAUUCGCAGGUACAUGCCAACGCCUUCUCAACAGCCUCCUCAGUUCGAGGCAAAAUGAUCCGCACCCAAGCCACUAUCUCGGAGUUAUCUUCUUCUUCUUCAAACUCAUCCCUCAGUCGGCGGAUCGAGUCCGAUGGGAGGGUGCUGGUACUUUCCCUAACUUUACACACCAGCCUCUUUUUUGGUUUUUUCUUCUCCCUGUCCAGAGGGCUCGGGGCCCUUUUCCUCUUCUUCUCUACACAUUGCCUCGGAGCAGGGGAUGCGAGAGGCACAUCCACACUCUCAGAUGGAGGCCUCAUAGCAACGUCCUUGGGGAGACCUACAAAUAAAUAGAGCCGAUAAGAAUUCAACAAUACAAGGAGAAAGUCAAAACCUUAUCUAACCAGAAAAGGAAACUUGCCAUGAUUAUGGGCCUCCCACCGACCCAUCAAUAAUUCCAUCCAAGCACGCUCGGAGAAUUGGCACAAGGUCCUUGACCCAUUCCUUGAGUUGGGGAACCACAUCCGGCAUCUGGGCCACAACUGCAACACCAAAAACACCCAUAAAAAGGAGAUAAGAGGAGAAACAAUAGAUUAAAUCUUCAAGGCAAAGUAAUACUUACGUUUCAUGUUCCAUUUCUCGGGAAAUGGCAUGUCCUCGGCAGGGAUCAAAUCUGAAGUCUUUAUUUGAACAAAACGGCCCAUACAACCUCGGUCCCGAGCCUCAUCUAUACUCGAGAAUGAGGCCCUACUAGCCCGGUGACCAAGCUUGACCAGCCCCCUCGAUAGAGUGGGGGACUGUAGAGAUACAUAAGGUGAUCAAGGGUGAAGGAACACCCUUCGAUUUUGUUUACGAAGAAUCGAAAGAGAUUAACUAUUCUCUAGAACGAAGGGUGAAUCUGGCCAAGAGUCACGCCGUACCUCUUGCAGAAAGCAAUAAUGAUCGGGUCUAAGAGACCCAACGUGAAGGGGUAAGUGUAAACACUUAAAAAACCCUCCACGUAGGUAAUGAUUGACUCCUCAUGCGAAGGCACCACCACAUGUUUAUUAGCCCAAUUGCAAUCUUCUUAAACCUUAGUGAGGAGAUCAUCGGUGAUUGUACAUAUGUACCUCGAGACCGGCUCGCAUCGACCCGGUACUGAGGAAGUUUUUUCAAUCUUAAAAUAGGCAACGGUCGGGCACCCUGCAGGAACGAACUCCUCAGGGUGUGGUUCCGCCGCAACCCCGUCGCCGGCGGGCCGUGAUGAAGAGGCGGCCUCCUCGCCGCAACCCCAUCUUAGAAGUUUUCGCCAUUUUAGAACAGAAGAAACGGAAAUUAGGAAGGUAUGUUUAGCGGUUUGCUAGAAACUCAAGAAAUUUGGGUGCAAGAGUUGGAGAGCAAAGGGAUUUUUUAAGAACAAGAAUAGGAGGAGCUUUGAACGUAAAGUUUGAAUAAAUGAAAGUUAGGGUAUUUAUAGCUUGCUGAUGAUGGUUCAGAACCUGUAGUGGCCGACCAGCAACUGUCAGAAAUUUAAUGCCUUGCUAACUAGGCCGGCGGGAUGUUUCAAUAUCCGUUUGUCGCUUACGUCAUGGCCCAUCGAGAGGGGAUUCGGAAGUUUAUUUCGUUUCUCGUCAUCUUCUCUCCGAGAAACGAGGGGACUAUUUGUAUACGGUCAACACCUGGUUUGCCUCUUGUGUGACUAAUCGAGACUGAAAAAUAGUAGGUUAAAGUUCCACCUCGAAUUAUAUCAAACCGAAGUGUGAAUCUAUAUCGUUAAACUCGAGACCAUGUCAUCGAACAAAAUCGAGAUCAGACGAGAUCGAGGAAAAUUUACCAAGUCGAAUAACAGAAGGACGAAAUAUCCGCGAUCAGUUGUAGAUCACGGCAAAAAUCUCGGUACGUAUCAAGGAUAGGCCGAUUGAUUAGCAAAUCAUGAGAUUUAUUACCUUAUAUAAAAUUGUAUCAAGAGUAGUACUCCCCUACUAUAUAAAGGGGGUCUGAUCAUUUGUAAAGGGACGCAUUACGCAACAUAAAGCAAUAUACUGUCAUUUUCUAGCUUUUAUCAUCUUGUUAUCAUGUUCAUACAUCAGUUAAGACAUCUCUGAGAUCAAAGGUGUUCAAUUUGAUAAACAGUUUGGCAUAAGGCUGCUCGAUUCAUGUGGUUUGCAUUAAUUCUUUUAUCAUCAAUUUCAAUUUUAAUCUUUUUCCUAAAUUUGUAUCAAGUUAUAUCACGUAUCCUUAAAACCAUGUAUAAAUUUAAUUGUUAUCCAAUUUUUAGGGUACACUAUUAAAAAACUGCCAAAAAUCAUCCACAAAAACCGACCGAAAUCGGUCGGAAUCUAACAAAAAUUGACCAAUUUUUGACUGUUUUCAGUUAGUCGAUAAAACAAUGUUCGCAAAUGAGGAGCGACCGCACACGGUCGAUAUUUUCCCACUGACUUCAGUCAGUAGAUGUCAACAAAAUUUGCCGACCGAAUUCGGUCGGUAGUGGUGAAAAUAAUUUUUAAUUAUUUUUAAAAUUUCGACCGAAUUCGUUAAGAGUUUUAAUUAUUUUUCUUUUUAAAAUUAUUCAAUUCUGACUGAAAUCAGUCGGCAUCGUUAAAAUAUAUAAUUUUUUAUUUUUAUUUAAAAUUGUUAAUUCCGACCUAAAUCGGUCGGUAUUAUGUAAAUAAUUAAAAUUUAAAAUAAAAAAUUCCGACCGACGUCGGUCAAUAAAUUUGAUUUUCUGGGAUAUCCGAUGAUCAUUUCCAACCGACUUUUCGACCGUAGUCGGUCGAUUUUCUUGGUAUUGUUUGGCAGUAUACAGCUGUUUUAUAGCUGCACCACCUACCAACAACCAAUCAUCUAUAAUGGCAGCAAUACAUUUCUGCCAUUUAACCAACAACAACAAUAACAACUAUCAAAACUAUAUUAGCAAAACAUUAUCACCAUCUCCAUCUCCACUAAACUAUAUUAACAAACUUCAUAUCUAACAACAAAACGUUUCACAAGUUAAAAGUUCAAACAUCAUUCAAUGAGUGUUUUGUACCACAUCAUCUUAAUCUCCACUAUUAUAGCAUUCAUCGUCGGCAUGGUUCGAAGGAUUAGCAUUUGGGGAAGGCUCACGAGACCGGGGAAUGGGAAAAGCACUACUAGUAAGAAGAUUGGCUAGCUGACCUUGAAGGAUAUUAAAUUGUUGGUCCCUCUUUUCUAGGUGAACUUGAAGGGUAUCAAAUUGUUUAUCUCUCUUUUGUUCUCUAGCCUUUGUCUCUUCAAGCUCUGCAGUCAGCUUUGCGAUCUUCUUCUUCAUAAAUGAGAGAGUCGGCCUAUCAAUUGCUUCGCCCUGGGCGAAAGUCCCUAUACCUUGCAAUCCAGCCCUGUAGCACCGAAAUGAUCUCUCUGGAAGGCCGUAUGCUAUCCCCUUUUUAGGACCACCGAUAACAUCCAACCAUAUCUUGUACACUUCUUCGUCUGAAAUGGGUGGUCGCUUGCCUUGCUCAUUCGGUGGCAAGCUCUGAGUGUACUCUUCCACAAUAAUCUUGUAGCGACCCUUUAUUUAGAAGAUAGAAAAUUAUCAAUUAUAUAAUAUUAUAAACAUUAAUUUCAAGUUAUGAAACUUAUAUAUGUAGUUGCCGCCCGAUCCUCGACACAUCUACUUGGAUCUGUUGGUGCCUUCUUCUUCCGGAUAUGAGUCUCCAUGAAGAACUCAUCAUGAGUCAUCUUCCUCCCAUAUUUUUUUCCUACAAAUAUAAUAAAGCAUGUUCAGUAAAUUAAAAUAUAUAAAUAAAGUUCGAUAAAAAUAGAAUUAAAAUAUUUGAAGGAAUUACCAGUAGUCUUCUCGUAGUCCCCAUGCUCCUUGCGCCCACACAAUGCAAGGAGCCACCCUUCUCAGAUGCUCGGGCCUUGUUUUCCUGUUCACUCUUCUUCUCGAACUUCUCAGUGGCCCACUACCUCAGCAAACCCUCCCAUAUGUACGGUAGAACCCAUGAAGGCUUUUUGGUCUUCUUCCGAGCACAAUAGAAGGAAUCAGAUAGUCUCUUACGACAUUAGAACUCAAAAUUUGCAAGAAUGACACUGUUAUGCCGGUCCUCCCAGGCACACUUAGUCUGCAAAUUAAAUGUGUUAUAUUAGAUAAAAAUAUUGUUAAUAUAAAGCUUAAAUAGAUAAGAAUUGGAUUAAAACCUUAAAUUUGCUGCACGGGCUCUGGUGGAAAGUCACUCCAAGUUGCAUAGGGUGCAUCAUACAACCGGCCAAGAGCUUCAGUGAUUAUCUUACCCAUUGCCCUCAGGGAUGAUGAUCAUCCUAUGAUAACGAUCAUACCGCACUUCCUCUGGAUCAUCAUCCUCCGAUGAAUCUGAAGCGUGCGCAGAAGCAGAGGCAUCUGGAUCAGCACUACUAUCCCGAAGUUGAAGCCUAGAAAAGCUAGGAGACAAACUUCGUGGAGAGAGAGACGGGGUCGCUGAUGAAGAUGGAUGCGAUCUACACCCAUGCAGCGAUCUAGACCCCUGCUGCGAUCCAGACCACUACUGCAAUCCGGCUGGCUGAAAUCUAGAUGGACGCGAUCAAGCCGAUGAUGAAGCAAAUGGAGCAGAUGGCGGGCGUAUCACCAUAUGGCCCUAUGACUGCUGACUCGAUGGACCCAUGUAAAUAUAUGCAGGAUCAUGUGGAGGAAGCGGGGUAUAGACCUAUGGCUGAGAAUGGUAAGAAUAUUGCUGGGAGGGCGAAUGGUAGGUAGUCUGAUGAGUAGAUAGAUGUGGUGGAAUAUAUGUAUGCCUAGAAGAUUGCUGCCGGCCAUUAGCAGCAGAGGGAUGCAAGUGAGGAGUGGAAGGAAGCGAGGGUGUAGCACCAUCAUCAUAAUCAAUAGGCCUCUUAUCCUUCCUAGACCUACCUCGACCCCUACCGGUCAUCUACAUAAAUAAAAGAAAAUGUUAGAAUUGAGAAUAUAAAUCUAUAUAAGUUGAGAGCGCUUGAAUAAACUAAAGGACAUGCUAACUUUCCAGCAGUCAUCCACCCAGACAACAUUCCAUACGCAGAAAAAUCAUUAAUGGUCCACAUUAAGUUAACACGCAAGUUGAAAUUUUGUUUAGUUGAUAUUUCAUAUGUCUCAACUCCAUCAUGCCACAACUGUUUUAGCUUAUCAAUCAGAGGUUUCAAAUAUACAUCAAUCAAACUCUUUGGAUUGCGGGGACCAGGAAUAAAAUAAUUUAAGAAAAUAUAUAGACUAGUCAUACACAUUUCAAGCGGAAGAUUAUACGGCGUAAUAAAGACCGGCCAGCAUGAAUAUGGUGUUGCAGAAAUAGAAAAUGGCGUGAAACCAUCAGCACACAAACCCAACCGAACAUUCCUCGGUUCACUAGCAUAAUCCAGAUACGUCCUAUCAAAAUGCUUCCAGGCUUCCCCAUCUAAAGGAUGACACAUAACACCCGACGACCUUCUAUUUUCAUAGUCUCAUCUCAUAGGAGGAACAGAACUCAUCGAUGCGUACAACCUAUUUAAUCUAGGAAUAAGAGGUAAGUAAUGCAUCGACUUCACAGCAACCUUCUACCCGCUGAAAACCCAUUUAAAACAAGGUUUUUCACAAAAUUUACAACUUUCUAAAUCCGCAUCACCCUUAUAAUACAACAUGCAUCCAUCUUCACAACAAUCGAUUCUCAUAGACGAGAGCCCUAACUUAGAAUCCAAUCUUUUAGCCUUAUAGAAAUCUUCAGGUAUGUUGAAAGUUGGGUCAACUAGUUCACUCAUAAGGCCAAUGAAAGAAUCCAUUCCUGCUUGAGAUAUAUUGGUAUCUGAUUUGAUACUUAAUAAUCUAACCACAACAAACAACUGAGAGUGCAUACUCCCUUCACUUAGUGGACGACUGGCGGCCUCUAACUGUUCAUAAAAAUGAUUUGCCUUUUCGUUAGGAGGUUGUUCAACACUUUCAAACACUUGCACUUCGUACAAGGACACCUAAUCAUCCCUCCAAUCUGAAGCGGUUCAAGUGACAUUGCAUGCCUAAUAAAUUCCUUAACCACAUCUAUAAAUUCCUCCCUCAAAAAUCGACAAUUAGGAUAAUUCCUAUUAUACAUCCAACUACGAUAUUCCAUCUACAUAAAGAACAAAUACAUUACAUGUUAUAUUAAUUAUAAUUCAAAUUAAUUUAUAGAAUUAAGUUACAAAAUCCCAAAUUGAGUGCAUAUUAAUUUGAAUAUAAUAUUAUUCUAACCCUACCAUUAAACAUAAUUAGACUCGCUAGAAUAUUUAGUUAGUUAAGCUAUUUAAUUAGACUAACUUACUUACUAUUAAUCAUAAUUAAUAAACCCUAAAUCAUAAAUUAAUAUACCCUAAAUCAUAGUUUAAUAAGCCCUAAAUCAUGAGCAAUAAAAUUUAAAGAAAUAAAAAUUAGCUAAUUAAGAAAGUACCUUACAUGAUAUCAUAAACAAAAUCAAUUAGAGUUAACCUUAAAUCUAUAGAAUUAUAAUCAAUUAAAAUAAUCCCAAAAUCCUAAAUUGAGUGCAUAUUAAUUUGAAUACAAUAUUAUUCUAACCCUGCCAUUAAACAUAAUUAGACUCGCUAGAAUAUCUAAUUAGUUAAGCCAUUCAAUUAGACUAACUCACUUACUAUUAAUUAUAAUUUAAUAUGCCAUAAAUCAUAGUUUAAUAAGCCCUAAAUCAUGAGCAAUAAAAUUGAAAAACAAUAAUAAUAAGCUAAAUAAGCAAGUACCUUACAUGAUAUCAUAAACAAAAUCAAUUAGAGUAAGCCUUAAAUCUAAAGAAUUAUAAUCAAUUGAAAGAAUCUCAAAAUUCAAAAUUGUAAAUACUAGUUUAUACAAUUGAAAGAAUUUAAAUAACUAAAAUUAACAAGUAUAGAUAACUAACCUUCAAAGAGAGGAGAGGGGUAUGAUUUUGGAAGUGGCGCGGUUGAUUUUGGGUGAGAAGGGAGUUAUGAGUGGUUUGCCUAUUUGACCCCAAUUUCCGACCGAAUUCAGUCGAAAUUUCAAUUUUAAAAAUUUUAAAAUAUUAAUUUAAUAAAAAUACCAAUUGAAGACGGUCGGUUUUAGUCAAUUUGUAAAGAUAGCAGCUUUUAAAUAAAUAAUAUUUUAAAUAAAUAAUAUUUAAUAUAUAUAUAUAUAUAUAUAGUGUGUGUGUGUGUAUUUUUUUUAAAUUACUUUUAUAUCGACACUAUAUCCUAUAUGUGUAUGUACAUAAUAUUUAAUUGAUUUAACAUCCUAAAUUGUAAUAUUCAAUAUUUAAUUAAUUUUGUAUUUAUACACACACACAAAAAAAAAAA
rnacentral:lncRNA from 1 species